AAUCCAAUCAGAAUAUACCUGAAGUAUAUAUUGAUUUGAGUAGUCAUUUAAAAAAUACACUUAUUGAAGAUUUGGGAAACAAUGAUUAUAAUAAUUCUUAUUUAAGAUUAGACUUUUUAGAAGAUUGUUCAAUAUCAAAUUAUCAAUCCUUUCAUCAAAUGUUAAGUGUGGAACUAGAAGUGGAUAAUUUCAAUAUCAUGAAUGUAUGGCACAUUUAUGUACUGUUGUAAAAUACUUAACUUCAGAAAACAUGAUUGGCAGUAUAAAAAAACUUAAUGUGGAUAUGCUAAAAUGGAUGAAUAAUUUAAAACUAGUAUUCUACGAUAAUUCAACUGACACAAUAAAUUCAAAAAUAUUGCUCAUAAAAUUAAUAAUUAAUUGUGAAACUAAUUUUGAACCAUAUGCGAAACACUGGCUUAGUCCUAUAAUGCAAUUUGUAUUAGAUAAACAUCUUGGGAAUAAUUUAAAUUAUUUUAUAAUUGAUGUGGUAUCAAUGCUUGUUUUGUGGCAUAAUAGUGCAGUUCCUUCCACAGAAAAUGAGAAACUCCUAGCUAAAAAGUUAUUUUCUUUUUUUUUAUCAGUUUCCCAUAGUGAAAUAUAAAAUAUAUUUAAGCACAACAUGGAAUAUAUUAAAUUUAUUAUUGAAAGUUGGAAAUGCUCACUAGAAAUGGAUUAUGAUGAACUUUUGUCUUUAAUAAAACCAAAUCAAAUAAAUAAUAAAUUACCAGAAUGUGGUUUACAUUUAAUUGGAAUCUUAUCUGCCAAUGGUAUUACACCAUUCAAUAAAUUAAAUAAAAAAAAGUUUUAUAAGUUUGCUUAUGGAAAGCUUAAAACAUAAUAAUCAAGUGAUUUAUGUGCUUAGUUCAGAAAUAUUUGAAAUGCUGUUAAAGUAAUUAUAAAAAUUGUAUACAGGAUCCAGCAAUAAAUUUACCUGUAUUUCAAAAGGCAGUUACAAAAAAACAAAAGAAAUCCUUUUAUUUGCAAUUAUAUUAAAUCAUUUUACAUUGCAGGAUUUUAAAGAUCUUGUUUAGUAAAUAGCAUCCUCCAUUGUUGACACAUUGAUAAAGCUUUAUAUAUGGGAGGCUUUUUGCUGAAUUCUGUACCUACUAUAGAUAAUGAAUCUAUUUUAUAAAUGUAUUCUUUUUUCACGGAAUCUAUUAUGAAAAUUCAAUAAAUGAAAUGGAAUUGUUACAGUGUCUGUCCUCAGUUUUAACUUUUAUUACUGAAAGUAUGGAUGCAACAAAAGUUUUAAGUUGUCUGUAUUAUAUUCAUAAGUAUUACUCAAAGAUUAUUGAUAGGUAAUAAAUAUUAUUGGUAUUAUAUAUUAUAGUUAUUACACAGGCGUAUUUGAAAUGUCUUAUCGGGGGGUGGGGGAGAACAAGCAAAAUUUCAAAUUUGUGUACAUGGGCGUAGAGUUAUAAAAUAUCUCAUAUAAUGAAAAUACGGUGAACGAUGGGGGCACGGACCCCAUGGGCCCCCUCCCUUAAAUAUGCCCCUGAGUUAUUACAACAAAAGAUAUUUUUAUUAUAAUUAUUUAUUAGUUUUAUAAUGUAUACACAAAAUGUAUUCAUCUUUUGAUUUAUUUGUA
rnacentral:lncRNA from 1 species